ACGAACGCUGGCGGCAGGCUUAACACAUGCAAGUCGAACGCUCGUAGCAAUACGGGAGUGGCGGACGGGUGAGUAACGCGUGGGAACGUGCCCUGAGGUACGGAAUAACUGCGGGAAACUGCAGCUAAUACCGUAUGAGCCCCGUGAGGGGGAAAGAUUUAUCGCCUUAGGAGCGGCCCGCGUCGGAUUAGCUAGUUGGUGGGGUAACGGCUUACCAAGGCUUCGAUCCGUAGCUGGUCUGAGAGGACGAUCAGCCACACUGGGACUGAGACACGGCCCAGACUCCUACGGGAGGCAGCAGUGGGGAAUCUUGCGCAAUGGGGGCAACCCUGACGCAGCCAUGCCGCGUGAAUGAUGAAGGCCUUAGGGUUGUAAAGUUCUUUUGCCCGUGACGAUGAUGACGGUAACGGGAGAAUAAGCUCCGGCUAACUUCGU
rnacentral:rRNA from 1 species